GAUGAACGCUGGCGGCGUGCCUAAUACAUGCCAGUCGAGCGAACAGACGAGGAGCUUGCUCCUCUGACGUUAGCGGCGGACGGGUGAGUAACACGUGGAUAACCUACCUAUAAGACUGGGAUAACUUCGGGAAACCGGAGCUAAUACCGGAUAAUAUAUUGAACCGCAUGGUUCAAUAGUGAAAGACGGUUUUGCUGUCACUUAUAGAUGGAUCCGCGCCGCAUUAGCUAGUUGGUAAGGUAACGGCUUACCAAGGCAACGAUGCGUAGCCGACCUGAGAGGGUGAUCGGCCACACUGGAACUGAGACACGGUCCAGACUCCUACGGGAGGCAGCAGUAGGGAAUCUUCCGCAAUGGGCGAAAGCCUGACGGAGCAACGCCGUGUGAGUGAUGAAGGUCUUCGGAUCGUAAAACUCUGUUAUUAGGGAAGAACAAAUGUGUAAGUAACUAUGCACGUCUUGACGGUACCUAAUCAGAAAGCCACGGCUAACUACGUG
rnacentral:rRNA from 1 species